GACGAACCGUGCGAACGUUGUUCGGAAUCACUGGGCUUAAAGGGCGCGUAGGCGGGCUCACAAGUCAGGGGUGAAAUCCCACGGCUCAACCGUGGGAGUGCCUUUGAUACUGUGGGGCUUGAGGGAGGUAGGGGCGUGCGGAACUUCCGGUGGAGCGGUGAAAUGCGUAGAUAUCGGAAGGAACACCGGUGGCGAAAGCGGCGCGCUGGACCUCUACUGACGCUGAGGCGCGAAAGCCAGGGGAGCAAACGGG
rnacentral:rRNA from 1 species